UCCCCUUUCCCUUCUCACGAAAACCCUAGGCGGCGCCUAGGGUUCCUCUUCUCUCUCCAUGCCAAAAAUGGCAACCAUUCAUAACUCGCAAGCUUUCAUCAGUUUUUGUAAAACUAUUCUCAUCCAACAAUCAAUAUUUAGCUUCACUUCACUCCAAACACGCGUUUGGCUGAGUUCGAGGAUUGGAAGCACUAGGGCUCCAAAUUCGAUCUUUUUCACGGCUGCACAUAAAAAAGUAAUCUUCUGUCCUUUUAUUGCCUUUUUCUUGUUUUGUGCUAAUUUCAUGUGUGUUUAGAUUAGUUUAAGUAUUGCAGUUUUGUUAAUGUGCUUAGUUAGCAUUAUGGUUGAAUAUUGUAGUCUAAAUGACCUUUAAAAAAACGGCCUGGAUCACUGCUUAAUCACCUGGAUGCCUGAUAUGAUAAUGUAUAACCAUGAACCUUAAUAGUAUUAGUUUAAAUGGAUCUCUGGUGGUGUUGUUUUCACUUCUAAAAAGAUUGAUAUUAUUAGUUGAGUGAAGUUUACAAGUUAAAGGCCUUAAAUAUGAUGAAAAUAAUAUUACUAAGUGUGAUUUGAAUCUGUCCAAGUCUGUUAUGUACAUUGUUUAAACCAUUUUAUAAAGGUGUGUCCAGAUGUUAAGCACAUGUUGAUCUUUGAUGAGAGCAAGACUAAUAAUGAUGUUUGACCUUAAGUAUGUUGUUUCUUGGCUCUGUCCUGUUCAGUUUCACAUGUAAACCAGCCCUAAAAUAAGAUGUAUAGGUCUGUCCAGGUUCUGAUAUGAUAAAAUGGGAGGUAAGAACAACUUCAUAACUAGAAUACUAGGUCAAGUUAAAUAAAAUAUCAACCUGUGUCAUUGCCAAUUGAGCAUUUGAUUGGAGUUGACUUAAUGAUGUUGUUUGAGGAGUCACAAGUGUCCAGGGGCAAUCCAUGAAUCACUUGACAUCAAGUGGCCUUUUAAAAGACACCUUAAAGAGAGGAUGAGGAAGAACCAAGUUCAACUUGGUUCACCGUAUCUUUCCACCAAAUAAGAGUUAUCAUGGCACACUCUAGGGUGUCCAUGGGGGUAUGUUUUCCAAAUGAACAUACUUGGCCCUUAAACUUCCUCAUUGAGCCAAAGGAUGGGUCUAAAAUGAAUCUAUUAAGUGUUUAAGUGAGCCUGUUGAAGGUAGAAGAAGUAUUUGUCCAUUUGAUGUCAUUAAUUUUCUAGAGAUAAGGAAAGAAUUGGUCAAGUUGAAGUCUUAGUACUAAGUCACAUGUUGAACCAAAUGCUAAAACAUAGGAGUCAUAAGACUUGUUUGGACCCUCUGCUUGUUCCCAUCUUUUUGGAAAUCUGUUAAAGUUUAAAAAGGGCCUAGGCUUGAAUCUCAUUUAAGGUCUGGUGUAUUUGAACCUUACUCCUCUUCUCUGUGUUCCAUCCUUUUUGAGUCAACUGAAGUCCAAAUGGUCAUUACUAUGUCAUUUGUGAUUGCUUGAGCCUGCCAAAUCUUGCUUGCUUUAUACUGUUCUUGCUUAUAGUUGAAAUUUCAACCUGCUUUGUGAUUUGGUUUUGAUUCCCAAGCCUCUCUGUGAUCUUGAUGUCAAUAUGUUUAACCUGUAAUCUCUUACUCUGUCUUGAUACUGUUUUAGCUUAGGCUGUAAGUAAAUAUUGAUCUAAUAUGGCAUAAUAGCCAAGUGAGUUGUCGAUCAAGUUGAGGCUGUGUAUGGGCUUGUAGUGGAAUUGUUUGUCCAGUGUUUAACUGAUUAGUUUGAGUACAAAAUGGCCUUGGUUUGAGUUGGAAAUUUUUCUUUAAAAUUGGAAAGACUAAUCAAGUGGUUAACUGAAUCAGUGUAAGAUUUAUGAUUUUAAGGUUAAAUAUACAUAAGGUAUAUACAUCUAGUAAGUAAAAGGAAGGAAGAUUACAUUUAGCCUUAACUCUCAAUUGGGCCGCUUUUUGGGAGGUAGAUGGGCCUUGCCCAAUUUAACUUGAUAAAGGGAAGUGGUAGAAAUCUCACUCAGCCCAAAGUAGGAAUUAAAGGGGCUCGGGUAGUUUUCUUCUGUAUUUGAUCUUGGGCUGCUAAAGCCAGUAGCGUAGAUGUGUGUAUAUUUGCUGUUUUACUUGUGAAUUAUAUAUAUAUGUAUGUAUGGAUUUGACAAGUUCAGUAGAUUGAAACUAACCGGGUCCCUCUUCUUUUUCCUCCUCCACUGCAUGGCCAUUCGGGCCGAGUCCAGCCAACCUGUUGGGCCAAGGCCCAACAGGUAAUUCUUUCGCAUUAUCGGGUCCGAUGAAGACAAAGAUGGAAGCUAAUAUAUUAAACACAUAGAAGGCCCCGUCAUGGGUGAAAAUGGCCAACUAGGGGCUUGGUACGCCCCUAGCCUUCCCCUUUCUCUUAUUUAAUUAUUCAUGCUUUCUUCAUGUCAUAAUUUGUUGUAUUUAUGCUUGUAAACACUUGUAAAACUCUUAUGUAUAUUGGAAUCCUUAUUGUAUGAACUAGUUGUCUUAGGACAACAGUGCUUA